GCUGUAAUGUGUGCAGCUUUCAUGUGUGUCCAAUGGCAGCGUCUGUCUGUGCCUUGCCUCCAGAUCCUGCUAUCCCCAUAAACAUGUAGCUGACGAAUAAAGUUGGAAUCACAGUGCAAUAUCAUUUUAUUUGAAAUAAGUUGAUUUCCUGUGUUCUUUAAUGAAUAA